GAUGAACGCUAGCGAUAGGCCUAACACAUGCAAGUCGAGGGGCAUCACAUGAAGUAGCAAUACGGAUGGUGGCGACCGGCGCACGGGUGAGUAACACGUAUGCAACCUGCCUUCAACAAGGGGAUAACCCGUUGAAAGACGGACUAAUACCCUAUAACACAGGGGUCCCGCAUGGGAAUAUUUGUUAAAGGACAACCGGUUGAAGAUGGGGCAUGCGUUCCAUUAGCUAGUUGGCGGGGUAACGGCCCACCAAGGCAACGAUGGAUAGGGGAACUGAGAGGUUUAUCCCCCACACUGGUACUGAGACACGGACCAGACUCCUACGGGAGGCAGCAGUGAGGAAUAUUGGUCAAUGGACGCAAGUCUGAACCAGCCACGUCGCGUGAAGGAAGACGGCCCUACGGGUUGUAAACUUCUUUUAUACGGGAAUAAAGUGCCCCACGCGUGGGGUUUUGCAUGUACCGUAUGGAUAAGGAUCGGCUAACUCCGUGCCAGCAGCCGCGGUAAGUCAUUAUCGA
rnacentral:rRNA from 1 species